GAUGUCUUCUGUCCUUAUUUUCACCUGAUGGCCAACUCUAGGAACGUACGGGCAUAUUCUGACACCGUCAUGUUCCCCUGGACCAACUGAACAAACUUCAUCUCCUUAAGAUGUCGGAUGUGCUCUGGGAGGUACUUUGCAUAGAAGGCUGCUAAGAACUGUUCCCAAGUGACUGGAACUAGCAGGGUGGUCUGCUUGAGUUCUCACCAGUGGUCUACUUCUCCCACCAGCAUGUAAGUAGCAAGGGUGACCCUCUGCUCGGGAGUCACUCCUAGG
rnacentral:lncRNA from 1 species